rnacentral:rRNA from 1 species
GACGAACGCCGGCGGCGUGCUUAACACAUGCAAGUCGAACGGAAAGGCCCUGCUUUUGUGGGGUGCUCGAGUGGCGAACGGGUGAGUAACACGUGAGUAACCUGCCCUUGACUUUGGGAUAACUUCAGGAAACUGGGGCUAAUACCGGAUAGGAGCUCCUGCUGCAUGGUGGGGGUUGGAAAGUUUCGGCGGUUGGGGAUGGACUCGCGGCUUAUCAGCUUGUUGGUGGGGUAGUGGCUUACCAAGGCUUUGACGGGUAGCCGGCCUGAGGGGGUGACCGGCCACAUUGGGACUGAGAUACGGCCCAGACUCCUACGGGAGGCAGCAGUGGGGAAUAUUGCACAAUGGGCGGAAGCCUGAUGCAGCAACGCCGCGUGCGGGAUGACGGCCUUCGGGUUGUAAACCGCUUUCGCCUGUGACGAAGCGUGAGUGACGGUAAUGGGUAAAGAAGCACCGGCUAACUACGUG